CAUGUCGAUGUGGCAUUGUGGCAUUAUUGAUUAUUUCGCGGCGUCUUUGUCUACGUGGCAUUGUUUUGCGGCGUCUGCGUCCUGCGCGCUUUGUCGACGUGGCAUUAUUUGGCGGCGUCCGCGCGUCUGUGUCGACGUGGCAUUAUUUGGCGGCCGUCUGCGCGUCUGUGUCGACGUGGCAUUAUUUCGUGGCGUCUGCGCGUCUGUGUCGGCGUGGCAUUAUUUCGCGGCGUCAUUGUCGACGUGGCAUUAUUUCGCGGCGGCUUGACAGCAUCCGGCAGCCGUAGGCUUUGUAGCCUUCGCCCUUCAGAUACAAACAACAGAGCCGACGGAAAACAUGGCGUGCUAUCCACGCUUUUGUCUCUCGUGUAACGUUUUCUGCAUUGUCGUUUAGCGGUUGCUCUCCGCUUGCCAGUUUCCGCCUGUCGUUUAUUGUUCUUUAAAGCCCGUCAUUCGUUUCGGACCGAGGUGGUUGUUAUACAAUUGAUUAUUGUAUUACGACUACCUUGGUCCGAUUUUGGAUUGCUAAACACUUAUGUCCGUGUGCGGAAUCGGACGUCGUCAAAAGUCGAAACAACAAAAUUAUCAAUAAAUCAAUCAAUAUGGACGGAAGAAAAUUCAAGAUAGCAGCCAAACCAACAAUAACACACUCAAUCUCAAAACUAAAUACUAAUUCAUUGUUUUCAUCAUCAUCUGCCGUGGUCAUGGUAAUUAAAUCAUAGACAUAUCCAUUUCCAUGUGCGUACUCAAAGAUUUAACCGCUCCGAUCCUGUAGCAGCCUCAAUCCAAGAUUAUCCAUUUUUAUAUACGUAUUCCAUGCAGUCUGAGUACUAAAUUGMCMCUGCCUUGGCAUUUGUAUCUAUAUCCGGAGGAUAAAAAUAUCUGUGCCAAGGCCGGG